AGGGAACUUAUCUAAUUUGGGUUGUUGUGUUCUUACUGAUAUGGCUCGAGACCUAUUUUUUGGGGAUUCCGCCUUGCGUCGAAAAUACGAAUCCACUACUAAAAAACAAAAAGAACAGAAGCGAAGAGCUAAAGCUUCCUCAACUGCAAUUGCGAAUCCCAUGU